rnacentral:misc_RNA from 1 species
GAUGAAGAACGUAGCGAAAUGCAAUAAGUAGUGUGAAUUGCAGAAUUCAGUGAAUCAUCGAAUCUUUGAACGCACAUUGCGCCCCUUGGUAUUCCAUGGGGCAUGCCUGUUCGAGCGUCAUUUGUACCUUCAAGCUUUGCUUGGUGUUGGGUGUUUGUCCCGAGGGACUCGCCUUAAAGUAAUUGGCAGCCAGUGUUUGGUUUUGAAGCGCAGCACAAGUCGCGAUUCAAGGCUACACGCCCGCUUCCACAAGCCUUUUUUCACUUUUGACCUCGGAUCAGGUAGGGAUACCCGCUGAACUUAAGCAUAUCAAUAAGCGGAGGA